GGUUAAGCGACUAAGCGUACACGGUGGAUGCCCUGGCAGUCAGAGGCGAUGAAGGGCGUGCUAAUCUGCGAUAAGCGCCGGUAAGGUGAUAUGAACCGUUAUAACCGGCGAUACCCGAAUGGGGAAACCCAGUGUGACUCGUCACACUAUCAUUAACUGAAUCCAUAGGUUAAUGAGGCGAACCGGGGAACUGAAACAUCUAAGUACCCCGAGGAAAAGAAAUCAACCGAGAUUCCCCCAGUAGCGGCGAGCGAACGGGGAGGAGCCCAGAGCCUGAAUCAGCAUGUGUGUUAGUGGAAGCGUCUGGAAAGGCGCGCGAUACAGGGUGACAGCCCCGUACACAAAAGCGCAUGUGCUGUGAGCUCGAUGAGUAGGGCGGGACACGUGGUAUCCUGUCUGAAUAUGGGGGGACCAUCCUCCAAGGCUAAAUACUCCUGACUGACCGAUAGUGAACCAGUACCGUGAGGGAAAGGCGAAAAGAACCCCGGCGAGGGGAGUGAAAAAGAACCUGAAACCGUGUACGUACAAGCAGUGGGAGCCCCACCACCAAAGCAUUUGCUGUACCGCGUUGACGGAGCGAAGCGACGUCAAACCGAUAAAACAGCAGUGUAAAGUGAGCCGCAGGGCGCUUUGCGCGACAGCGCAAAGGCAGGCGGUUUCGCGUAGCGAAAGCGAAUGCUUUGGGGUGGGGUGACUGCGUACCUUUUGUAUAAUGGGUCAGCGACUUAUAUUCUGUAGCAAGGUUAACCGAAUAGGGGAGCCGGAGGGAAACCGAGUCUUAAUUGGGCGUUAAGUUGCAGGGUAUAGACCCGAAACCCGGUGAUCUAGCCAUGGGCAGGUUGAAGGGUGGGUAACACUAACUGGAGGACCGAACCGACUAAUGUUGAAAAAUUAGCGGAUGACCUGUGGCUGGGGGUGAAAGGCCAAUCAAACCGGGAGAUAGCUGGUUCUCCCCGAAAGCUAUUUAGGUAGCGCCUCGUGAAUUCAUCUCCGGGGGUAGAGCACUGUUUCGGCUAGGGGGCCAUCCCGGCUUACCAACCCGAUGCAAACUGCGAAUACCGGAGAAUGUUAUCACGGGAGACACACGGCGGGUGCUAACGUCCGUCGUGAAGAGGGAAACAACCCAGACCGCCAGCUAAGGUCCCAAAGUCAUGGUUAAGUGGGAAACGAUGUGGGAAGGCCCAGACAGCCAGGAUGUUGGCUUAGAAGCAGCCAUCAUUUAAAGAAAGCGUAAUAGCUCACUGGUCGAGUCGGCCUGCGCGGAAGAUGUAACGGGGCUAAACCAUGCACCGAAGCUGCGGCAGCGACACUGUGUGUUGUUGGGUAGGGGAGCGUUCUGUAAGCCUGUGAAGGUGUGUCGUGAGGCAUGCUGGAGGUAUCAGAAGUGCGAAUGCUGACAUAAGUAACGAUAAAGCGGGUGAAAAGCCCGCUCGCCGGAAGACCAAGGGUUCCUGUCCAACGUUAAUCGGGGCAGGGUGAGUCGACCCCUAAGGCGAGGCCGAAAGGCGUAGUCGAUGGGAAACGGGUUAAUAUUCCCGUACUUGGUGUUACUGCGAAGGGGGACGGAGAAGGCUAUGUUGGCCGGGCGACGGUUGUCCCGGUUUAAGCGUGUAGGUGUGUGUUCGAGUAAAUCCGGUUCACUUUAACACUGAGGCGUGACGACGAGGCACUACGGUGCUGAAGCAACAAAUGCCCUGCUUCCAGGAAAAGCCUCUAAGCAUCAGGUAACAUCAAAUCGUACCCCAAACCGACACAGGUGGUCAGGUAGAGAAUACCAAGGCGCUUGAGAGAACUCGGGUGAAGGAACUAGGCAAAAUGGUGCCGUAACUUCGGGAGAAGGCACGCUGACACGUAGGUGAAGUGAUUUACUCAUGGAGCUGAAGUCAGUCGAAGAUACCAGCUGGCUGCAACUGUUUAUUAAAAACACAGCACUGUGCAAACACGAAAGUGGACGUAUACGGUGUGACGCCUGCCCGGUGCCGGAAGGUUAAUUGAUGGGGUCAGCGCAAGCGAAGCUCCUGAUCGAAGCCCCGGUAAACGGCGGCCGUAACUAUAACGGUCCUAAGGUAGCGAAAUUCCUUGUCGGGUAAGUUCCGACCUGCACGAAUGGCGUAAUGAUGGCGGGCUGUCUCCACCCGAGACUCAGUGAAAUUGAACUCGCUGUGAAGAUGCAGUGUACCCGCGGCAAGACGGAAAGACCCCGUGAACCUUUACUAUAGCUUGACACUGAACAUUGAGCCUUGAUGUGUAGGAUAGGUGGGAGGCUUUGAAGUGUGGACGCCAGUCUGCAUGGAGCCGACCUUGAAAUACCACCCUUUAAUGUUUGAUGUUCUAACGUGGACCCGUUACCCGGGUUGCGGACAGUGUCUGGUGGGUAGUUUGACUGGGGCGGUCUCCUCCUAAAGAGUAACGGAGGAGCACGAAGGUUGGCUAAUCUCGGUCGGACAUCAGGAGGUUAGUGCAAUGGCAUAAGCCAGCUUGACUGCGAGCGUGACGGCGCGAGCAGGUGCGAAAGCAGGUCAUAGUGAUCCGGUGGUUCUGAAUGGAAGGGCCAUCGCUCAACGGAUAAAAGGUACUCCGGGGAUAACAGGCUGAUACCGCCCAAGAGUUCAUAUCGACGGCGGUGUUUGGCACCUCGAUGUCGGCUCAUCACAUCCUGGGGCUGAAGUAGGUCCCAAGGGUAUGGCUGUUCGCCAUUUAAAGUGGUACGCGAGCUGGGUUUAGAACGUCGUGAGACAGUUCGGUCCCUAUCUGCCGUGGGCGCUGGAGAACUGAGGGGGGCUGCUCCUAGUACGAGAGGACCGGAGUGGACGCAUCACUGGUGUUCGGGUUGUCAUGCCAAUGGCACUGCCCGGUAGCUAAAUGCGGAAGAGAUAAGUGCUGAAAGCAUCUAAGCACGAAACUUGCCCCGAGAUGAGUUCUCCCUGAGACUUAGAGUCUCCUGAAGGAACGUUGAAGACGACGACGUUGAUAGGCCGGGUGUGUAAGCGCAGCGAUGCGUUGAGCUAACCGGUACUAAUGAACCGUGAGGCUUAACCUU
rnacentral:rRNA from 1 species